GGGCCUGUAGCUCAGUUGGUUAGAGCACGCGCUUGAUAAGCGCGGGGUCGAUAGUUCAACUCUAUCCAGGCCCACCA
rnacentral:tRNA from 18 species